UGCCAAUGAUGAUUUCAAUAUUUGCUAGUUGAUCAUUGAGAUGUGAUGACAACUUUUCCCACCAAGAUCGCUGAGGCA